rnacentral:lncRNA from 1 species
GGUUGAUUUCUGUUCUGAUAUUUACUAUUGCCUUUUUUCUGCCUACUUUACAUUUUGUUUGUCUUUUUUUUAAGAAAAUUACUUUAUUCUAAUCAAAUCACAAAUAAUAACAUCACAGGAGAUGGCUUAAGGAGGCCACAACAAUUUCACCAGCCCUGAAUUUUGUCCCAUCUCAGUGAACUUUUAUAAAGUCAGAAAACAUUCUUCCCUGGAAGAAGGGGUUUAACUGAUGCUUUUGUACUGUAUGUUUUCACUGUCUAUUAAAUUUUUAUAUCUUUAGUUACUUUAUAACUAGGUCAGGACAGCUGACUUUUAUUUCUAAAUUUAAACUUCUUGAUUAGACUAAUUCAUUUGCAAGUCUGAACUGUUUCCAUCCCUGAUUCCCGGAAUUCAGGGCACACUCCAAAAACUGUUUUCUCUUAUAAAAUCAAUAGCCACUAAACAGCUGCUGCUGUGACUGGGUUUCCUAAGAAUCCUGCUAAGUGACAUUAGGCCUUGAGAGCUCACCAUUACUUUCUCCAUGGAAGUGUCCUCUAAUGGAAUGACCUAGUGUGAGCCUGAGAGCACAGACCAUAGCCAUGCCAGCUGCAGGGGUUGCCAUCUGGGCCACAGAACUUGCUAUGGGGUGAAACAUUGGAAAACCCACUGUAAUUAGUAGGGAUGCUAUUGAUUGUUGAGCUGCUGUGCUGGGCUUAUCUCCCAUAUGGGGGUGCAGCUUGCUGCAGACGCCUUUCAGAGAAAUAAACUUUUCUUCCCCCAACAUUGUAAAUGUGUAGUGGAAAUCCUCAAAGUCCUCUUCUGUGGAUAAUGACAGUAUUCUUCUUCUAUUUUUAAGGUGGAAACAGAGGUGAUUGCUUUGUGACUUUUAUUUCUUUUUUAAAAAUCAAAAAGGUAAACUCAAUUCAAUAAAAAUAAUAAUAUGAGGAUAAAUAAAUCCACAACAGGCUCUGAAGUUUGGAACUAUUUUUUCUGUUUUUUUGCCAAGAAAAUGGAUUUCUGAAAGCACCUAGAGCUGAAGAUGUUAAAAUAAAACUGAAUUUCUUAAUAUAUGGGUGGAACAGGCUUGGUGCUCCCAGUUGUUCUCCUAACAUUCACUGUGGCCAAGGUGACAGCCAAGGUUUCUUGGUGCCCUCAUGGUGAGUUAGUUAGUUUCAGAAGUACCUGUAGAGUUUUUUUUCCUGAGAUAUUAUCU